AUUUUUUAGUGGCAAUAAGGCAAUGGUCGCCAAUAAAUUCUUUAAGCUUAAAUUUUAACGGCAUAUAACUCGUUGAUGCACAACGCAUAAACUUCACUCCGAAAAAGCCCUAACUCGAUGAAGCAUCAACGCCAGUGCGCGGAGACGCCAUUGUGCGAAAACUCUAGUGCGAUUUACAGUGCGUCAACUAUUGUGCACAUCUUCUGCCCAGGUAAACUCUUUCUAUUCGAUUUUACAAUUGAUUUAAAGAAGAUCAGUUCAAUUUUUACAGAAGACAGUGCGUCAAUAACAGUAGAUUUACAGUAAUUCAGUUCCUUCCAAUCGAUUUACAAUAGAUCUUGUAUUGAUGUUUGUGGAGUGGAGGAAGGAGGUGGUGCCAUGGUUUGAUAUAUAUAAAAUUAGGCCUAUGCAACGUGUUAAUGAGACAUUUUAUUUUUCUUAAAUUUUUUAUUUUUUGAAAGAUCUAAUUAUUGUGGCUUGAUGGGUUCCAAUUUCUUCAUACUAGGGUAAUAAAUCUGAGUCAAGAAGGGUGUUUAAGUGCUUUUCAAGUAGAAAGAAGGAAUCAAACAAAAAGGUAAUUUAGAGAUAUUCUUUUUAAAUAAUGGGGUUAUCGAAUUGUAAGCUUCUACGAUAAGUAUGAUUAAAUUUGAUUUUGAAGCGUGAAUUCUUUUAUAGAUGUCGUAAACAACAGAAAUUUGAAAGCAAUUCAAAACACAUAAACUUUAAAUACUGGCUCCGCUUCUACUUUUGAGAUAUAAAAGAGAACAGGUGCCCUAAUAAAAUUGUUAGGGUGACAUCUUUAUUAAUAGGGAGGAUAAGUCAUUUGUUAAAAAAAUUGUUUGCGUCAUAACAUAUCCAAGAAAAACAAUAUAAGUUGUCAAUGUGAGCAGGGUGAGGAUCACAAUAAUUGAUGUGGGAUGUUUUAAUUAUCCGUAUCUGGGGUGAAAUUAGCCUUGUUUUUUAGAAGAAGGUUCUGCUAAUUUGGAAAGUUUUAGACUGUAGAGCAUGAGUCAUUCUCCCUCUGUACUGACUUGCUUGUCCCUUGAGCUUAUCAAGGCCAAUUUGACUGAUUUCUGGAACUAAAUCAGAUCAGUUUAUUUUCCGAAUAAACUUUUUAUACAUAGAGAAUACACAAAAAUACUAGUGUAAUAUUUUCCAUAUCAAAUUAAUAAAAGAAUACAUAUAAAAGUACUAAUCAAAAUUUGAUUCAGGCUUUGUUGUUAAAAGCCAUCGCUUCGUCGCUUUGCGAAGAGGAGGAGUUAUCGCUUCAUAGGUAAAGCCAUGCACUUCAAAUAAUGAGGUGCAAAGCGAUCCAAAAUAAAAGUGGAGGAUUGUUGAAUCUCAAUUUUGAGUUGUAUUAAUAUUCAUAUUAGCGUACAUUAGAGCUGAAGUUAGUUUUUACAAUUUGAUUACUACAGCACUAAAUUCAUGUGUAUGUGGCAUCAUUUUAAUUUUUAUAAAUUGUGCGCUUCAUUUCAAAGAAGCACGUGCUUCAC
rnacentral:lncRNA from 1 species